CAGAGGGUGCAAGCGUUGUUCGGAAUUAUUGGGCGUAAAGCGCGUGUAGGCGGCUUGGCAAGUCAGAUGUGAAAGCCCUCGGCUUAACCGAGGAAGUGCGUCUGAAACUGCUGAGCUUGAGUGUCGGAGAGGAUGGCGGAAUUCCGCAAGUAGAGGUGAAAUUCGUAGAUAUGCGGAGGAACACCGGUGGCGAAGGCGGCCAUCUGGACGACUACUGACGCUGAGACGCGAAAGCGUGGGGAGCAAACAGGAUUAGAUACCCUGGUAGUCCACGCUGUAAACGAUGAGAACUAGGUGUCGUGGGUGUUGACCCCCGCGGUGCCGCAGCUAACGCAUUAAGUUCUCCGCCUGGGAAGUACGGCCGCAAGGCUA
rnacentral:rRNA from 1 species